GACGAACGCUGGCGGCGUGCUUAACACAUGCAAGUCGAACGGAAAGGCCCUGCUUUUGUGGGGUGCUCGAGUGGCGAACGGGUGAGUAACACGUGAGUAACCUGCCCUUGACUUUGGGAUAACUUCAGGAAACUGGGGCUAAUACCGGAUAGGAGCUCCUGCUGCAUGGUGGGGGUUGGAAAGUUUCGGCGGUUGGGGAUGGACUCGCGGCUUAUCAGCUUGUUGGUGGGGUAGUGGCUUACCAAGGCUUUGACGGGUAGCCGGCCUGAGAGGGUGACCGGACACAUUGGGACUGAGAUACGGCCCAGACUCCUACGGGAGGCAGCAGUGGGGAAUAUUGCACAAUGGGCGGAAGCCUGAUGCAGCAACGCCGCGUGCGGGAUGACGGCCUUCGGGUUGUAAACCGCUUUCGCCUGUGACGAAGCGUGAGUGACGGCAAUGGGUAAAGAAGCACCGGCUAACUACGUG
rnacentral:rRNA from 1 species